rnacentral:rRNA from 1 species
AUUGAACGCUGGCGGCAUGCUUUACACAUGCAAGUCGAACGGUAACAGGCCUUCGGGUGCUGACGAGUGGCGAACGGGUGAGUAAUGCAUCGGAACGUACCCAGAGGUGGGGGAUAACGCAGCGAAAGCUGUGCUAAUACCGCAUGUGAUCUGAGGAUGAAAGCGGGGGACCGAGCAGCAAUGUUUGGCCUCGCGCCUUUGGAGCGGCCGAUGUCGGAUUAGCUAGUUGGUGGGGUAAAGGCCUACCAAGGCGACCAUCCGUAGCUGGUCUGAGAGGACGAACAGCCACACUGGGACUGAGACACGGCCCAGACUCCUACGGGAGGCAGCAGUGGGGAAUUUUGGACAAUGGGCGCAAGCCUGAUCCAGCAAUGCCGCGUGCGGGAAGAAGGCCUUCGGGUUGUAAACCGCUUUUGGCAGGAACGAAACGGUGUCCGCUAAUACCGGGCGCUAAUGACGGUACCUGCAGAAUAAGCACCGGCUAACUACGUG